UACGUAGGGUGCGAGCGUUGUCCGGAAUUAUUGGGCGUAAAGAGCUCGUAGGCGGUGUGUCACGUCGGUCGUGAAAACCUGGGGCUUAACUCUGGGCUUGCGGUCGAUACGGGCAUCACUUGAGUUCGGCAGGGGAGACUGGAAUUCCUGGUGUAGCGGUGAAAUGCGCAGAUAUCAGGAGGAACACCGGUGGCGAAGGCGGGUCUCUGGGCAAUAACUGACGCUGAGGAGCGAAAGCGUGGGGAGCGAACAGG
rnacentral:rRNA from 1 species